AAAAAGAACAUGAAAAGGGAGGUGUAUGAGCAUUUAUGACUGCACUAGGAAUAAGUGAUGCGCUGAUGGGCCAUGAAAGAGGGGCGCUAAAAGUAACCAGCGAAAGCCCACGAUCCAAAUCACAAUUAAAUCAGGGCGUGACAUAUUAAAAUGAACAUUUUAAUUAAAAUAACCAUGUGAACACUUAUCAAUCGGUCACUUUCAUUUAAGUCACUAAAAGACAAAAACCAAACGGACGGACAAGAUUAAAACAAGAGCGAUAGAUCCAAGGGAUCUCA
rnacentral:lncRNA from 1 species